rnacentral:ncRNA from 1 species
GGGAUGAACCGGAAGCCGGGUUACGGUGCCCAACUGCGCGCUAACCUAGAACCCACAAAGGGUGUUGGUCGAUUAAGACAGCAGGACGGUGGUCAUGGAAGUCGAAAUCCGCUAAGGAGUGUGUAACAACUCACCUCACGAAUCAACUAGCCCCGAAAAUGGAUGGCGCUGAAGCGCGCGACCCACACCCGGCCAUCUGGGCGAGCGCCAUGCCCCGAUGAGUAGGAGGGCGCGGC